UAGCAGACAAAUAUAUAUCCUACUCAAG
rnacentral:sRNA from 1 species